rnacentral:lncRNA from 1 species
AACUUGCCAUUUUUGGUGGAGUACCUGUGUCGACACGACACUGGUACAGGUGCAGGAUUUGUAUGGGAUCCGGCCACAGAAAUCUAGAUACGGCUAUUUUUGCAGGUGGUUCAUCGAAGAAGAAGAAGAAGAAGAGAUGAGGUAGGAGGAAGAAGAAGAAAGAGAAAAGACAUGGUCUUAUGAAGAACAAACAUACAUA